AUUGAACGCUGGCGGCAGGCCUAACACAUGCAAGUCGGACGGUAGCACAGAGGAGCUUGCUCCUCGGGUGACGAGUGGCGGACGGGUGAGUAAUGUCUGGGGAUCUGCCCGAUAGAGGGGGAUAACCACUGGAGACGGUGGCUAAUACCGCAUAACGUCGCAAGACCAAAGAGGGGGACCUUCGGGCCUCUCACUAUCGGAUGAACCCAGAUGGGAUUAGCUAGUAGGCGGGGUAACGGCCCACCUAGGCGACGAUCCCUAGCUGGUCUGCGAGGAUGACCAGCCACACUGGAGAUGAGACACGGUCCAGACUCCUACGGGAGGCAGCAGUGGGGAAUAUUGCACAAUGGGCGCAAGCCUGAUGCAGCCAUGCCGCGUGUAUGAAGAAGGCCUUCGGGUUGUAAAGUACUUUCAGCGGGGAGGAAGGCGAUGUGGUUAAUAACCGCAUUGAUUGACGUUACCCGCAGAAGAAGCUCCGGCUAACUCCGUGCCAGCCGCCGCAGUAA
rnacentral:rRNA from 1 species